UACGUAGGGGGCAAGCGUUGUCCGGAAUCAUUGGGCGUAAAGCGCGUGUAGGCGGCCCGGUAAGUCCGCUGUGAAAGUCGGGGGCUCAACCCUCGAAUGCCGGUGGAUACUGUCGGGCUAGAGUGCGGAAGAGGCGAGUGGAAUUCCUGGUGUAGCGGUGAAAUGCGCAGAUAUCAGGAGGAACACCAAUUGCGAAGGCAGCUCGCUGGGACGUGACUGACGCUGAGACGCGAAAGCGCGGGGAGCAAACAGG
rnacentral:rRNA from 1 species